rnacentral:rRNA from 1 species
AGUCGUAACAAGGUUUCUGUAGGUGAACCUGCAGAAGGAUCAUUAGUGAAGAUUUGGGCAGGCCAUACGGACGCCAAAAAGUGUCCCUGGCCGCCUACACCCACUAUACAUCCACAAACCCGUGUGCACUGUCUUGGAGAAAGGCUUCAGAGAAGUUUUUUGUGGCCUCUCUUGGGGUCUUUCUUCGCUACAAACUCGAAUGGUUAGUAUGAACGUGGAACUUGGUUGGACCGUCACUGGCCAACAAACUAUACACAACUUUCGACAACGGAUCUCUUGGUUCUCCCAUCGAUGAAGAACGCAGCGAAACGCGAUAGGUAAUGUGAAUUGCAGAAUUCCGUGAAUCAUCGAAUCUUUGAACGCACCUUGCGCUCUAUGGCAAUCCGUAGAGCAUGCCUGUUUGAGUGCCAUGAAAUCUCCCACCCCAAGCGGUUUUUAAAUGAAACGGCUUGGCGGAUGGGGUCUGGAUGGGUGCCUCUGCCUGCGCUACCUAGCACAGGCUCGCCCGAAAUGCAUGAGCGCCUUGAGACACUUUGCAUCCGCCUCUCUGUUUGGGAGGAGGCGGCCAAGCAGUGUUUUUCUCCUGGCAUGGCAUGAUACGUCAUUUGCUAUGUCGCCUAAAGGAGGAAUGUUUGGUUGUGUCUGCGUGUGCUUCGAACUUGCCUCUGUGGCACAUCCCAAUUUCACUUCUGGGUCUCAAAUCAGGUAAGAUCACCCGCUGAACUUAAACAUAUCAAUAAGCGGAAGAAAAGUCG